UACAGAGGAGCCAAGCGUUGUCCGGAUUGACUGGGCGUAAAGCGCACGCGAGGCGGAUGCGCGCGUGGGGUGUGAAAUCUGGCCGCUUAACGGCCAGGCGCCAUCCCAUACGGCGCGUCUGGAGUGAUGCAGAGGUCGGUGGAAUUGCCGGUGUAGUGGUGAAAUGCGUAGAGAUCGGCAGGAACACCCAGGGGGAAACCAGCCGACUGGGCAUCUACUGACGCUGAGGUGCGAGAGCGUGGGGAGCGAACCGG
rnacentral:rRNA from 1 species